rnacentral:rRNA from 1 species
CCUACGGGAGGCAGCAGUGGGGAAUAUUGGGCAAUGGGCGCAAGCCUGACGCAGCAACGCCGCGUGAAGGAAGAAGGCUUUCGGGUUGUAAACUUCUUUUAAGGGGGAAGAGCAGAAGACGGUACCCCUUGAAUAAGCCACGGCUAACUACGUGCCAGCAGCCGCGGUAAUACGGAGGUGGCAAGCGUUGUCCGGAUUUACUGGGUGUAAUGGGCGUGCAGCCGGAGAGACAAGUCAGAUGUGAAAUCCACGGGCUCAACCCGUGAACUGCAUUUGAAACUGGUUCCCUUGAGUGUCGGAGAGGGAAUCGGAAUUCCUUGUGUAGCGGUGAAAUGCGGAGAGAUAAGGAAGAACACCAGUGGCGAAGGCGGAUUACUGGACGAUAACUGACGGUGAGGCGCGAAAGCGUGGGGAGCAAACAGGAUUAGAUACCCCGGUAGUC